AUUGAACGCUGGCGGCAUGCCUUACACAUGCAAGUCGAACGGUAACGCGGGGCAACCUGGCGACGAGUGGCGAACGGGUGAGUAAUGCAUCGGAACGUGCCCAGUAGUGGGGGAUAGCCCGGCGAAAGCCGGAUUAAUACCGCAUACGACCUACGGGUGAAAGCGGGGGAUCGCAAGACCUCGCGCUAUUGGAGCGGCCGAUGUCAGAUUAGGUAGUUGGUGGGGUAAAGGCCUACCAAGCCUGCGAUCUGUAGCUGGUCUGAGAGGACGACCAGCCACACUGGGACUGAGACACGGCCCAGACUCCUACGGGAGGCAGCAGUGGGGAAUUUUGGACAAUGGGCGCAAGCCUGAUCCAGCCAUGCCGCGUGCGGGAAGAAGGCCUUCGGGUUGUAAACCGCUUUUGUCAGGGAAGAAACGCUCUGGGUUAAUACCCUGGGGUAAUGACGGUACCUGAAGAAUAAGCACCGGCUAACUACGUGCCAGCAGCCGCGGUAACAC
rnacentral:rRNA from 1 species